rnacentral:rRNA from 1 species
GUCACUGCUAUCAGUAUUCGAUUAAGCCAUGCGAGUCAAAUGUUWUUCGUAAACAUGGCGUACUGCUCAGUAACACGUGGAUAAUCUGCCCUAAGGUCAGGCAUAACUCCGGGAAACUGGUGAUAAUUCCUGAUAUAUCAUAGAUACUGGAAUGUUCUGUGGUCAAAAGCUCCGGCGCCUUAGGAUGAAUCUGCGGCCUAUCAGGUUGUAGUGGGUGUAGUGUACCUACUAGCCGACGACGGGUACGGGUCGUGAGAGCAAGAGCCCGGAGAUGGAUUCUGAGACAUGAAUCCAGGCCCUACGGGGCGCAGCAGGCGCGAAAACUUUACAAUGCGGGAAACCGCGAUAAGGGGAUACUGAGUGCCAGCAUCUUAUGUUGGCUGUCCGCAUGUAUAAAUAGCAUGUGUUAGCAAGGGCCGGGCAAGACCGGUGCCAGCCGCCGCGGUAACACCGGCGGCCCGAGUGGUGGCCACUAUUAUUGGGUCUAAAGGGUCCGUAGCCGGUUUGAUCAGUCUUCCGGGAAAUCUGACAGCUCAACUGUUAGGCUUCCGGGGGAUACUGUCAGACUUGGGACCGGGAGAGGUAAGAGGUACUACAGGGGUAGGAGUGAAAUCUUGUAAUCCUUGUGGGACCACCAGUGGCGAAGGCGUCUUACCAGGACGGGUCCGACGGUGAGGGACGAAAGCUGGGGGCACGAACCGGAUUAGAUACCCGGGUAGUCCCAGCCGUAAACGAUGCUUGSUAGGUGUUUGGGACGGUGCGACCGUUUCAGGUGCCGCAGGGRARCCGUGAAGCGAGCCACCUGGGAAGUACGGCCGCAAGGCUGAAAAUUAAAGGAAUUGGCGGGGGAGCACUACAACGGGUGGAGCCUGCGGUUUAAUUUGAMUUAAAGCCGGGAAACUYACCUGGGGCGACAGCAAWAUGUAGGUCAGGSUGAAGGUUUUACCUGAAUUGCUGAGAGGAGGUGCAUGGCCGUUGUCAGUUUGUACUGUGAAGCAUCCUGUUAAGUCAGG